GACGAACCGUACAAACGUUAUUCGGAAUCACUGGGCUUAAAGGGUACGUAGGCGGCUUGGAAAGUUGGGUGUGAAAUCCCUCGGCUCAACCGAGGAACUGCACUCAAAACUGCCAGGCUUGAGGGAGAUAGAGGUGAGCGGAACUCAGGGUGGAGCGGUGGAAUGCGUUGAUAUCCUGGGGAACACCAGUUGCGAAGGCGGCUCACUGGGUCUCUUCUGACGCUGAGGUACGAAAGCUAGGGGAGCGAACGGGAUUAGAUACCCCGGUA
rnacentral:rRNA from 1 species